UAGUCCACGCCCUAAACGAUGUAUGCUAGACGUCGGGAGACUUGUCUUUCGGUGUCGCCGCUAACGCAUUAAGCAUACCGCCUGGGGAGUACGGUCGCAAGAUUAAAACUCAAAGGAAUUGACGGGGCCCGCACAAGCGGUGGAGCAUGUGGUUUAAUUCGACGCAACGCGAAGAACCUUACCCAGGCUUGAAGUGCGAGUGACAAUCGGCGAAAGCUGACUUCCGCAAGGACGCUCGUAGAGGUGCUGCAUGGCUGUCGUCAGCUCGUGUCGUGAGAUGUUGGGUUAAGUCCCGCAACGAGCGCAACCCUUGUCUGCUGUUGCCAUCAGUUCGGCUGGGCACUCUGCGGAGACUGCCGGUGAUAAACCGGAGGAAGGUGGGGAUGACGUCAAGUCAGCAUGGGCCUUUAUGUCUGGGGGCUACACACGUGCUACAAUGGCCGGUACAAAGCGUCGCGAUCCCGCGAGGGGGAGCUAA
rnacentral:rRNA from 1 species